UACGGGGGGGGCAAGCGUUGUUCGGAAUUACUGGGCGUAAAGGGCUCGUAGGCGGCCAACUAAGUCAAACGUGAAAUCCCUCGGCUUAACCGGGGAACUGCGCUUGAUACUGGAUGGCUUGAGAUUGGGAGAGGGAUGCGGAAUUCCAGGUGUAGCGGUGAAAUGCGUAGAUAUCUGGAGGAACACCGGUGGCGAAGGCGGCAUCCUGGACCAAUUCUGACACUGAGGAGCGAAAGCCAGGGGAGCAAACGGG
rnacentral:rRNA from 1 species